GUUUUUCCGCGUGUUCGCACACGUUCACGGCAGCGAGAACAACAACGUGCGGUGUUGUGUGUGAGCCUGCCGCAAAAAUCAAAUGAAAGUCCAACUGCAAAGUAAGGCUAAAAGAAAGUCGACAAAACUGGCAAUAUGCAGUGCGUGUGCAUAGAAAAACCAGAUAUACAGCGGCAACAGGGUAUUGUACUUUGGACAAGUGAAAUAUCCCCCAAACGCCAGUGAAAAUCGAAGGAAAAACCAACGCAGCAUACGCAGAAAACACCGUAAUCACUGGGAAACCGGACAAAAUGCUAGGCAGCCAAAUUGGCUGCCUUUGAGGCUGAGUGAGUGGCUCAAGCACGGAGACCUUUUUUAAGACAAAAGCCUAGAGACACUAAACAAAAC